UGAGCAAUCUGCCCUUCUAAUCGGAAUAAGCGUUGGAAACGACGUCUAAUGCCGAAUACGACCUCCUUUCGCAUGAUCGGAGGUGGAAAGCUCCGGCGGAGAAGGAUGAGCUCGCGGCCUAUCAGCUAGUUGGUGUGGGUAAUGGCCCACCAAGGCGACGACGGGUAGCCGGCCUGAGAGGGUGACCGGCCACACUGGGACUGAGACACGGCCCAGACUCCUACGGGAGGNAG
rnacentral:rRNA from 1 species